AGUGAACGCUGGCGGCGUGACUAAUACAUGCAAGUCGAACGAAGUGGCGCACGGGUGAGUAAUAUAUAGUUAAUCUGCCCUACACAGAGGAACAACAGUUGGCAACGACUGCUAAUACCUCAUAGUGUAGGAUGAGACUAUAUCGUAUCAGCUAGUUGGUAAGGUAAUGGCUUACCAAGGCUAUGACGCGAAACUGGUCUGAGAGGAUGAUCAGUUAAAUUUGAACGGAGACACGGCCCAAAGUCCUACUGGAGGCAGCAGUAAGGGAUAUUGCGCAAUGGGGGCCACACCGACGCAUCAACGCCGCGUGGAGCAUGACAGUUUGAGGAGCCUAAACACCCUUUAUCACGAAAUCGGUACCUGAUGAAUAAGCAACGGCUAACGCCGUGCCAGCAGCCGCGGUAAUUC
rnacentral:rRNA from 1 species